AAUAAUUUGUCUAUAUUAAAUACUAUUUAAUAAAUUCCACUAACAAUUUACAAUCAAACUGAAAAGGACUUAUAUAAAACAAUAAAUUUCCUUUUGUAUCAGGAAAAUACUAUUUCUUUUUAUUAUAAAAAUAUCCCGAAUUAAACAAGAACUAAAUUCCUUACAAAAAAUGUAACAAAAUUUAAUAAAAAAGACUUUAGAAACUAAACAUCAGCCGAAUUUUAAGAUAACUGGUUACCCUAAAAAUAGUUAAAGAACAAUCUAUAACUAAUAUCUAUCUGUUAAUCUUUUCCCAAAGAAAUAAAAGUUUUCAAAAAGUUUAAUAACUAACAAACAUCAUACAAAAAUUCAAUCUUUAUUUUUUUUAAUUAAACAAAAUUAAUCUAUUUAUAAGUAACUAUAAAACUAUUAAUCUUUUUAGUUAAAACUAAGCAUAUAAAAAUCGACUGUUUAUCAAAAACAUAACUUUUAGUCUUAAUUAAAAGCUAUUCCUGCUCCAUGAAAUCUAAAUAGCCGCAGAAUUUUUACUGUGCUAAGGUAGCAUAAUAAUUUGUCUCUUAAUUAGAGAAUAGAAUGAAUGGAAAAACGUAUUUUUUACUGUUAUAUUUAAAUACACUAAAAUUACUUUAAAAGUAAAAACCCUUUUCUUAAAAAGAAAGACGACAAGACCCUAUUAAACUUUACUACAGUUCAGCUGGGGCGGCUUUAUUAAAAAUAUCUUAUUAACUUUAUUCAUCCUAAUUUUAUUACAACAAGUUACUAUAGGGGUAACAGCAUAAUUUAUCUUAAUAGCUCUUAUUCAAAGAUAAGAUUAUGACCUCGAUGUUGAAUUAAAUGUCUGUUUUAAGUAAAAUAAAAAUAAGAAAGUCUGUUCGACUUAUAACUAUUUACAUGAUUUGAGUUCAGACCGGUGUAAGCCAGGUCGGUUUCUAUCUUCUUUAACUAAAUUCUAGUACGAAAGGACCUAAUUUAAUAUUACUAAU
rnacentral:rRNA from 1 species